rnacentral:rRNA from 1 species
GUAGGUCCCGAGCGUUGUCCGGAUUUAUUGGGCGUAAAGCGAGCGCAGGCGGUUAGAUAAGUCUGAAGUUAAAGGCUGUGGCUUAACCAUAGUACGCUUUGGAAACUGUUUAACUUGAGUGCAAGAGGGGAGAGUGGAAUUCCAUGUGUAGCGGUGAAAUGCGUAGAUAUAUGGAGGAACACCGGUGGCGAAAGCGGCUCUCUGGCUUGUAACUGACGCUGAGGCUCGAAAGCGUGGGGAGCAAACAGGAUUAGAUACCCUGGUAGUCCACGCCGUAAACGAUGAGUGCUAGGUGUUAGACCCCUUUCCGGGGUUUAGUGCCGUAGCUAACGCAUUAAGCACUCCGCCUGGGGAGUACGACCGCAAGGUUG